UACGGAGGGAGCUAGCGUUAUUCGGAAUUACUGGGCGUAAAGCGCACGUAGGCGGCUUUGUAAGUAAGGGGUGAAAGCCCAGAGCUCAACUCUGGAAUUGCCUUUUAGACUGCAUCGCUUGAAUCCAGGAGAGGUGAGUGGAAUUCCGAGUGUAGAGGUGAAAUUCGUAGAUAUUCGGAAGAACACCAGUGGCGAAGGCGGCUCACUGGACUGGUAUUGACGCUGAGGUGCGAAAGCGUGGGGAGCAAACAGG
rnacentral:rRNA from 1 species